UCCGGUGGUAUACGAUGGAUCCGCGUCUGAUUAGCUGGUUGGCGGGGUAACAGCCCACCAAGGCGACGAUCAGUAGCCGGCCUGAGAGGGUGAACGGCCACAUUGGGACUGAGACACGGCCCAAACUCCUACGGGAGGCAGCAGUGGGGAAUAUUGCACAAUGGGGGAAACCCUGAUGCAGCGACGCCGCGUGAGUGAAGAAGUAUUUCGGUAUGUAAAGCUCUAUCAGCAGGGAAGAAAAUGACGGUACCUGACUAAGAAGCCCCGGCUAACUACGUGCCAGCAGCCGCGGUAAUACGUAGGGGGCAAGCGUUAUCCGGAUUUACUGGGUGUAAAGGGAGCGUAGACGGCAGCGCAAGUCUGAAGUGAAAUCCCAUGGCUUAACCAUGGAACUGCUUUGGAAACUGUGCAGCUGGAGUGCAGGAGAGGUAAGCGGAAUUCCUAGUGUAGCGGUGAAAUGCGUAGAUAUUAGGAGGAACACCAGUGGCGAAGGCGGCUUACUGGACUGUAACUGACGUUGAGGCUCGAAAGCGUGGGGAGCAAACAGGAUUAGAUACCCUGGUAGUCCACGCCGUAAACGAUGAUUACUAGGUGUUGGGGGACCAAGGUCCUUCGGUGCCGGCGCAAACGC
rnacentral:rRNA from 1 species